AGCGUACACGGUGGAUGCCCUGGCAGUCAGAGGCGAUGAAGGACGUGCUAAUCUGCGAUAAGCGUCGGUGAGGUGAUAUGAACCGUUAUAACCGGCGAUUUCCGAAUGGGGAAACCCAGUGUGUUUCGACACACUAUCAUUAACUGAAUCCAUAGGUUAAUGAGGCGAACCGGGGGAACUGAAACAUCUAAGUACCCCGAGGAAAAGAAAUCAACCGAGAUUCCCCCAGUAGCGGCGAGCGAACGGGGAGGAGCCCAGAGCCUGAAUCAGUGUGUGUGUUAGUGGAAGCGUCUGGAAAGGCGCGCGAUACAGGGUGACAGCCCCGUACACAAAAAUGCACAUACUGUGAGCUCGAUGAGUAGGGCGGGACACGUGAUAUCCUGUCUGAAUAUGGGGGGACCAUCCUCCAAGGCUAAAUACUCCUGACUGACCGAUAGUGAACCAGUACCGUGAGGGAAAGGCGAAAAGAACCCCGGCGAGGGGAGUGAAAAAGAACCUGAAACCGUGUACGUACAAGCAGUGGGAGCCUCUUAAUGGGGUGACUGCGUACCUUUUGUAUAAUGGGUCAGCGACUUAUAUUCUGUAGCAAGGUUAACCGAAUAGGGGAGCCGAAGGGAAACCGAGUCUUAACUGGGCGUUAAGUUGCAGGGUAUAGACCCGAAACCCGGUGAUCUAGCCAUGGGCAGGUUGAAGGUUGGGUAACACUAACUGGAGGACCGAACCGACUAAUGUUGAAAAAUUAGCGGAUGACUUGUGGCUGGGGGUGAAAGGCCAAUCAAACCGGGAGAUAGCUGGUUCUCCCCGAAAGCUAUUUAGGUAGCGCCUCGUGAAUUCAUCUCCGGGGGUAGAGCACUGUUUCGGCAAGGGGGUCAUCCCGACUUACCAACCCGAUGCAAACUGCGAAUACCGGAGAAUGUUAUCACGGGAGACACACGGCGGGUGCUAACGUCCGUCGUGAAGAGGGAAACAACCCAGACCGCCAGCUAAGGUCCCAAAGUCAUGGUUAAGUGGGAAACGAUGUGGGAAGGCCCAGACAGCCAGGAUGUUGGCUUAGAAGCAGCCAUCAUUUAAAGAAAGCGUAAUAGCUCACUGGUCGAGUCGGCCUGCGCGGAAGAUGUAACGGGGCUAAACCAUGCACCGAAGCUGCGGCAGCGACACUGUGUGUUGUUGGGUAGGGGAGCGUUCUGUAAGCCUGCGAAGGUGUGCUGUGAGGCAUGCUGGAGGUAUCAGAAGUGCGAAUGCUGACAUAAGUAACGAUAAAGCGGGUGAAAAGCCCGCUCGCCGGAAGACCAAGGGUUCCUGUCCAACGUUAAUCGGGGCAGGGUGAGUCGACCCCUAAGGCGAGGCCGAAAGGCGUAGUCGAUGGGAAACAGGUUAAUAUUCCUGUACUUGGUGUUACUGCGAAGGGGGGACGGAGAAGGCUAUGUUGGCCGGGCGACGGUUGUCCCGGUUUAAGCGUGUAGGCUGGUUUUCCAGGCAAAUCCGGAAAACCAAGGCUGAGGCGUGAUGACGAGGCACUACGGUGCUGAAGCGACAAAUGCCCUGCUUCCAGGAAAAGCCUCUAAGCAUCAGGUAACAUCAAAUCGUACCCCAAACCGACACAGGUGGUCAGGUAGAGAAUACCAAGGCGCUUGAGAGAACUCGGGUGAAGGAACUAGGCAAAAUGGUGCCGUAACUUCGGGAGAAGGCACGCUGAUAUGUAGGUGAAGCGACUUGCUCGUGGAGCUGAAAUCAGUCGAAGAUACCAGCUGGCUGCAACUGUUUAUUAAAAACACAGCACUGUGCAAACACGAAAGUGGACGUAUACGGUGUGACGCCUGCCCGGUGCCGGAAGGUUAAUUGAUGGGGUUAGCGGCAACGCGAAGCUCUUGAUCGAAGCCCCGGUAAACGGCGGCCGUAACUAUAACGGUCCUAAGGUAGCGAAAUUCCUUGUCGGGUAAGUUCCGACCUGCACGAAUGGCGUAAUGAUGGCCAGGCUGUCUCCACCCGAGACUCAGUGAAAUUGAACUCGCUGUGAAGAUGCAGUGUACCCGCGGCAAGACGGAAAGACCCCGUGAACCUUUACUAUAGCUUGACACUGAACAUUGAGCCUUGAUGUGUAGGAUAGGUGGGAGGCUUUGAAGUGUGGACGCCAGUCUGCAUGGAGCCGACCUUGAAAUACCACCCUUUAAUGUUUGAUGUUCUAACGUUGGCCCCUAAUCGGGGUUGCGGACAGUGUCUGGUGGGUAGUUUGACUGGGGCGGUCUCCUCCUAAAGAGUAACGGAGGAGCACGAAGGUUGGCUAAUCCUGGUCGGACAUCAGGAGGUUAGUGCAAUGGCAUAAGCCAGCUUGACUGCGAGCGUGACGGCGCGAGCAGGUGCGAAAGCAGGUCAUAGUGAUCCGGUGGUUCUGAAUGGAAGGGCCAUCGCUCAACGGAUAAAAGGUACUCCGGGGAUAACAGGCUGAUACCGCCCAAGAGUUCAUAUCGACGGCGGUGUUUGGCACCUCGAUGUCGGCUCAUCACAUCCUGGGGCUGAAGUAGGUCCCAAGGGUAUGGCUGUUCGCCAUUUAAAGUGGUACGCGAGCUGGGUUUAGAACGUCGUGAGACAGUUCGGUCCCUAUCUGCCGUGGGCGCUGGAGAACUGAGGGGGGCUGCUCCUAGUACGAGAGGACCGGAGUGGACGCAUCACUGGUGUUCGGGUUGUCAUGCCAAUGGCACUGCCCGGUAGCUAAAUGCGGAAGAGAUAAGUGCUGAAAGCAUCUAAGCACGAAACUUGCCCCGAGAUGAGUUCU
rnacentral:rRNA from 1 species